CGGUGGAAACGAGAAUAAAGCGUGAAGGAUAACGUUGCGUCAGCAACGGCCCGUAGGGCGAGGCGAAGCCGAGUCAUCCUGCACGACCCACCA
rnacentral:sRNA from 1 species